rnacentral:rRNA from 1 species
GACAGAGGAGCCAAGCGUUGUCCGGAUUGACUGGGCGUAAAGCGCAUGCAGGCGGUCGCGCGCGUGGGGUGUGAAAUCUGGCCGCUUAACGGCCAGGCGCCAUCCCAUACGGCGCGACUGGAGUGAUGCAGAGGUCGAUGGAAUUGCCGGUGUAGUGGUGAAAUGCGUAGAGAUCGGGCAGGAACACCCAGGGGGGAAACCAGUCGACUGGGCAUCUACUGACGCUGAGGUGCGAGAGCGUGGGGAGCGAACCGG